CCUACGGGAGACAGCAGUGAGGAAUAUUGGUCAAUGGCCGAGAGGCUGAACCAGCCAAGUCGCGUGAGGGAAGAAUGUCCUAUGGAUUUUAAACCUCUUUUGUCAGGGAGCAAAGUCACCCACGUGUGGGUGUUGGAGAGUACCUGAAGAAAAAGCAUCGGCGAACUCCGUGCCAGCAGCCGCGGUAAUACGGAAGGCCCGAGCGUUAUCCGGAUUCAUUGGGCUUAAAGGGAGCGUAGGCGGGCGUUCAAGUCAGCUCUAAAAUCGCGCGGCUCAACCGCGCCCCGCAGUUGAAACUGGACGCCUUGAGUUCACAACAGGCAGGCGGAAUUCGUGGUGUAGCGGUGAAAUGCAUAGAGAUCACGAGGAACCCCGAUUGCGAAGGCAGCCUGCCGGGGUGCGACUGACGCUGAGGCUCGAAGGUGCGGGUAUCAAACAGGAUUAGAUACCCCAGUAGUC
rnacentral:rRNA from 1 species